rnacentral:rRNA from 1 species
GCCAGACUCCUACGGGAGGCAGCAGUGAGGAAUAUUGGUCAAUGGCCGGAAGGCUGAACCAGCCAAGCCGCGUGAAGGACGAAGGUGCCAAGCAUUGUAAACUUCUUUUGUCAAGGGACAAAAUCAGGCUCGAGAGCCUGACCGAGGGUACUUGAAGAAAAAGCAUCGGCUAACUCCGUGCCAGCAGCCGCGGUAAUACGGAGGAUGCGAGCGUUAUCCGGAUUUAUUGGGUUUAAAGGGUGCGUAGGCGGGGUGUUAGGUAGGGGGGAAAAGCCCGGGGCUCAACCCGGGCGAGCCGUUGAAACUGGCUGUCUUGAGAUGUCGAGAGGUAUGCGGAAUGCGCAGUGUAGCGGUGAAAUGCUUAGAUAUUGCGCAGAACUCCGAUUGCGAAGGCAGCAUACCGGCGGCGAUCUGACGCUGAGGCACGAAAGUGCGGGGAUCGAACAGGAUUAGAUACCCGAGUAACU